UGUGAGCUAACGGACCCAACCAUUCCAAGAUACCCGCCAUUGCGUCUGUCCACUCCUUCGCUAGCCCCGGAUCAUAAACCGCGGAAGAGCUCAAGUUUUUCGAGUACGGCUUUAGCCUCUCUCUCAACGAUUUUCUCACGCUCGCUGGUAACAUGUUGUAAAGGUCGUCUCUCGCAUCGUCGCCUAUCAAGUGGGGAGAUGCAACGAAUCUCUCUAUCACGAUGAUGACAUUAGCGUAGUGUAACGCUAAGCAAGCGGCGCCGAGGGUGUUAGGAGCAGCAUCUGACAACUUGGGUCUUUCAACGUGGACAGUGUUGGAACUUCCUUGGAGAAUCUGAUGAUGCUCUGCGCUACUAUGCCUAGCUCCGUUCUGGGUCCUAGUGCUGAGAGGAGUGAUACCGUCUUGAGACACCAUGCAGCCUUUAAAGGGACCAACCUGUGUUAAACGGUUGGGUUUUGACUGCUUUUUCGCUGAGGAGACCGAAGGCCUUUCCGGUGUCUGCACCACCGUCUUCUUGUUGUGUUUGCCCAUUCCCAUAAGCGGUCCUGAUUUGGAUGUGAACUUCCCGAGAGGACCCGAGUAAAACUUGAAACGUUUGUUCUUUUCUGGGGCAAGAGGACCUGACUUAGGGGACUGGGUAGUGAGUGAGCCCGAGAGGAAAUCACCCAUCUUCGUGGACUUUGUAGCAGCUGAGCCUGACGCUGGACCUGUGAAUCUCCCAAGAGGACCAGAAGCAAAUCUAGGAGGACGGGUGGUCUCGGACUGAUGCGUCAAAACAGUGGAAACAGAGUGGCCGCGAGCGAUGAAAUCAGAAUCCGCAGAGCUAACAUCGCUAUUACUUACCAAGAAUGAUGACGUCCCAUCGGAUGAUGUUGUACCGUGCAUAUCUAAAUAAUCCCUAAGGCGGGAAAAGCUCUCUCUCAUUGCAUGUAUGUUGUCUAUCCCAAAAAACACAAUCUGAAGAGAAACAGUGUCAGUAAGAACAAGCAGUUCAAGACGACAAAAAUAUUGAGCUUCAAACCAGGUCAUACUUCAGACUGCAAAUAAUUUGAAGAUGAUUCUGAGCCUCCUCCCAUUGCUCCAUUUGCUAACGCAUUUUUCCUAGGUCUUGCAUCUGCGAUGUAAAGCUUCCUAUGACAUAAAAAAACGAGAGUAAGUGCAUCUUUUAUAACAAAAUAGCAACAUUCAACCAUAUUGAAGAUAUGAACCAACAGAAUGUUAUUUUAUUCUACCCAAAUAGACCUUUCUAUAUAUUUCAGAAAUAAUCCCACGCCCAACUGGGCCAACAAUGAGUGGUUUAUCUCCAAGUUAUAUUCAUAUGCAAACGCAAAACCGUACACAAGAAAUGCACGCACAAGGAAGUGUCAUGGGCUUAAAGAUGAUAUAAAGGAGAUCAAUAGUAAAUCCACAUGUUAACUUUAACCAAAUGAGAACGAACAUAGGAAGCUCACCGUGGUGCUCCCUUGUGACCAGCUAACUGAGUGCAGAAUGAAGCAACAAGUUUUUCAUCAAAGUUACUGUUGAAAAAGAGCAAAAUAUUAGAAAACUUCAGAAUCUAUUACUUUGAGAUUCAAAAUAAGAAACUCAAUUAUCAUCACAAUUCUGGCAUGAAACUGAAACUUCUAUGUACCUCCUCAUGUUCAUCAUCAGACCAACUAAAGGUUGUGAAGAGCGAGCAAUCACAGCUCCAGUUCCUGCAAUUAAAGAUCAAAAAGAAACAUGUGUAAAUGCGGAAGCUAUACGAACAAAAUUCAAAUGGAAGCAACAGAACAGCUGCAUUUCUACCUGGAUGGCACCACGAGAUCACGGGCAGGCGACUUUUUGCCCGGAAAGUAGACGCUUGGGUCAGCUCUUCAUCACUGACAUAAAACAUACGGUAAUUUUAGUUCAAGCCUAUACUUUCCAGGAAGAUAGUUUAAACAAAAAAAAACAGAAACUCUAAACGCUGGUAGAGACCAAAUUAAACUCUUUUCAUUCAUGUUCAAAGAACCAAUGUCCUACCUAAUGGAUUUUGGAACCAUCAAAGCAAACGGAUAAGUCGGACACAAGUUAUAAUUCGAGUUCAAGUCAGUUAUCCGCCAAAAGUCAUUGGAAACUGAGAAUGAACCGUCUUUAAUCAUAUUCAUUGACGCUCGCAAUGAACCUUUUCCGAGAAGUCGAAAAUACUCGUUAAGCAAUCUUUCCUUUGGGUUUUUGUUGCCGAAUUUGGAAGGCCCACAUGUAAAAGCAUAAAGAUCCCAUACUCUCUCUAGAUUGCUACACCUCAAUAGUGCAUCAACUAGAGAACGUCUCUGCAAAGUUAUGCCAAUAAAAAUCAAAUAGGACCAUAUAGGCUUCAAAAGGAAAUGCAGAAAACGAGAGUCAAAGCUUCACCUGCUUGGUUCCAGGGCGAAAACCAUAGACAAUUAUCCUCAUAUCUUUGCCUGCAAAAUGCACAUGAUUCACAAGAAUAGUUUCAAAACUAACAUAAAGAAGGUAUCAGAUAACAAAAUCUCUCAACCAGUAUUAGUAUAGUGGUAUUGGUUAAGCAACAACAGAGGAGAAAGAAACAGAGUAAAGUAUCAGAGUGAAUUUUAAUAUAAGGUGUAUAAACCUGAUAAAACAAGACUACUGGAAUCAGUUUUAGCAAAUGGUGACACACGGAAACAUACCAGUGACCUGUAAAAGACGUUUUGGUGGAUUCUUGGUGGACUGAUGUCUGUUUGAAUGAACUUUCUGCACCUACAUACAUCACCCAACGACACAGAACAAACAAAUUAAAGCCCAUUUUCACUAAGAUUAAACUCAAAACGUUACUAAUAACUAAAAACUGACCGUUUUGUUAAACUUCUCGAUAGCCACCAGUGGAAUAGUACCAAGUGGAACAGGAUCUCUGGUUCCUUCCCUCUUCACAAAGAUUAAACAAGGAUUGAUUGAUGUGAUGCACCAUUUUAAACAUAACAAGACACAAAAGAAGAAGAAAGACAAGCCAUAAUACCAAAAAAAGAAUACGGAAAUUUGUGAGUAAGAGGGUCCCCGCUUCAUUGGUGUUUAUGAGUAUAACUCCACAACACUGUAAUCAACAGCCAUAACAAGAAUAUAAAUAAUUUUUCAACAAACACACACACACACACACAAAGACUCUCUGCAAUACAAUAAUCUUAUAUAAACCGCCUAACUACCUAGCGAUUUAUUUAACAUUGCUAAUUUUGAAGGAACGCUAAUGAGAUACCUCGAAGGUGAUCCUCUCAGAAUCCAGCAAGCAAUCCAAGUUUGAGUACGAGCUUGACCAAGAAGCUUGCUGAAAAGAGAAAAUAAUUAAACAUUAAACAUUAGGCGUCAAUCGAUUAACCCUAAUCAAUACCCAAUAAACAAGAUGAGCAACACGAUUGAAAAAGUUAAGAGAGGUAUACAUCGAGUUUGGUCCAUUCAAGCACGUCCCAGCUUCCGGUACCUUCCAUCUUCUCCGAAGAAUAUCGCAGCGAUCGUAAUCGCCUAGAGGAGUUUCUCGGCGCCGUCAUUUAAACGGUGACGAGGCUUCGCCUUUCUCUGCCUCUUAACGGUGGGAAACGACGGAUUUCGCACGCUGCCUUUUGUUUCGCUGCGAAGACAAUGAGACUCUCGAAUACGGCGUAGUUUCUUCCGUACGGCCAACGCUUUGCGUUUUAGACUUUUUUUUGUUUGAUUAAUAAUGGGCUUUCUUACCUAUUUUAAACAGAUUUUGUUGAUAAAAAGUCCUCUAAUGGAAAACUUGAGUGUAGUUUCGGAUAAUUAAAAUUUCAGCAAGAGAAAAAUUGGAUAAUGCAAAAAUAACAAUAACAAUGUUUUAAUUAUAAAUUAGAUAUAUAUAUAUAUUUUAAAUCGUAUUAUAAUAUCCCAAAAUGAAUUUAAAAACUGAAUUUGUAUUUGCAUGUGUAUGAUGAACCAUAUGUAUAUUUAUGAUCGUAUAAAGCAAACACCAUACGCAUUCGUAUUGUAUGCAAUAUACAAGAAUAUUAAUGGUGUAACCGUAUACGUAACUGAAUUUUGAGAUUUUUACCAAAAAAAAAAAAACUGAAUUUUGAGAUUUGCGACUUAUGAAUUGGUUUCCAUGAAGAACCCACACCAGUGACAUCACCAUACGAAUAAACUCUGACCGAGGGAACAACAAGCAGGAGUUAUAAUAAUACAGACAUAACUUGAACAAGUCGGAACUUAAAAUCCCCAAAUCAAGGAUUCUUCUGUAUCAUCACCAUUACAAUAAUCAAAAACAACCUUGGCACAUACGUAUAUGCAGCAGUAGUAUGUAUCAUCUCAACCACAAUAAAAUCUCGUAGAACAAUAUACAACGCAUCAUCACAUCCUACUACAAGUCAGAAUAGUUAAGGAGAUAAAGAUAAAAGAGACGCUCACAUACAUCAUAAUACCUCUCGUGGUAAUCUAGCAAUGUAACAGCUUUUCGUCCUCGGGUUUGGUCCAAGCUGCACGGUUUGGUUGAGUUCCAGUGCCAGUUUAGGUCAAAGAAGUAGUAAAAUAAAUCUAGUCUUGGAAAGCUUCGACUAGUUAUCUGUGUCUAAACAUUUCUCAAGGGUUUGACUACUAGUACACUCUUGAAGAGCCUUGGCGUUAAGCUCUCUGCCAUAUCUCCAGACAUAGUUGAGCCCGACAAGAAGCUCCGUGAUGAUGGUUUCUGUUUUCUGCUGGUUCGCAAAGAAGAGAGUCUGCGCGAGAACUAUGUGCGUCCUCGAAACCAAGCUCUGGUUCUCGUAACUCCUCUCGGACUGCCAUUUUAUCAUGUUGUGAGCUAACGGACCCAACCAUUCCAAGAUGCCCGCCAUUGCGUCUGUCCACUCCUUCGCUAGCCCCGGAUCAUAAACCGCGGAAGAGCUCAAGUUUUUCGAGUAGGGCUUUAGCUCCUCUCUCAGCGAUUUUCUCACGCUCGCAGGUAACAUGUUGUAUAGGUCGUCUCUCGCGUCGUCGCCUAUCAGAUGAGGAGAUGCAACAAACCUCUCUAUCACGAUGAUGACAUUAGCGUAGUGUAACGCUAAGCAAGCGGCGCCGAGGGUGUUAGGAGCAGCAUCUGACAACUUGGGUCUUUCAACGUGGACAGUGUUGGAACUUCCUUGAUGAUGCUCGGCGCUACUAUGCCUAGCUCCGUUCUGGGUCCUAGUGCUGAGAGGAGUGAUACCGUCUUGAGAUACCAUGCAUCCUUUAAAGGGACCAACCUGUGUUAAACGGUUGGGUUUUGACUGCUUUUUCAAUUUCGCACGCUGCCUUUAGCUGAACCACCUAAAUGUUAUUCCCUUGAAGUUACUUACCAAGAAUGAUGACGUCCCAUCGGAUGAUGUUGUACCGUGCAUAUCUAAAUAAUCCCUAAGGCGGGAAAAGCUCUCUCUCAUUGCAUGUAUGUUGUCUAUCCCAAAAAACACAAUCUGAAGAGAAACAGUGUCAGUAAGAACAAGCAGUUCAAGACGACAAAAAUAUUGAGCUUCAAACCAGGUCAUACUUCAGACUGCAAAUAAUUUGAAGAUGAUUCUGAGCCUCCUCCCAUUGCUCCAUUUGCUAACGCAUUUUUCCUAGGUCUUGCAUCUGCGAUGUAAAGCUUCCUAUGACAUAAAAAAACGAGAGUAAGUGCAUCUUUUAUAACAAAAUAGCAACAUUCAACCAUAUUGAAGAUAUGAACCAACAGAAUGUUAUUUUAUUCUACCCAAAUAGACCUUUCUAUAUAUUUCAGAAAUAAUCCCACGCCCAACUGGGCCAACAAUGAGUGGUUUAUCUCCAAGUUAUAUUCAUAUGCAAACGCAAAACCGUACACAAGAAAUGCACGCACAAGGAAGUGUCAUGGGCUUAAAGAUGAUAUAAAGGAGAUCAAUAGUAAAUCCACAUGUUAACUUUAACCAAAUGAGAACGAACAUAGGAAGCUCACCGUGGUGCUCCCUUGUGACCAGCUAACUGAGUGCAGAAUGAAGCAACAAGUUUUUCAUCAAAGUUACUGUUGAAAAAGAGCAAAAUAUUAGAAAACUUCAGAAUCUAUUACUUUGAGAUUCAAAAUAAGAAACUCAAUUAUCAUCACAAUUCUGGCAUGAAACUGAAACUUCUAUGUACCUCCUCAUGUUCAUCAUCAGACCAACUAAAGGUUGUGAAGAGCGAGCAAUCACAGCUCCAGUUCCUGCAAUUAAAGAUCAAAAAGAAACAUGUGUAAAUGCGGAAGCUAUACGAACAAAAUUCAAAUGGAAGCAACAAAACAGCUGCAUUUCUACCUGGAUGGCACCACGAGAUCACGGGCAGGCGACUUUUUGCCCGGAAAGUAGACGCUUGGGUCAGCUCUUCAUCACUGACAUAAAACAUACGGUAAUUUUAGUUCAAGACUAUACUUUCGAGGAAGAUAGUUUAAACAAAAAUAAACAGAAGCUCUAAAGGCUGGUAGAGACCAAAUUAAACUGUUUUCAUUCAUGUUCAAAGAAUCAAUGUCCUACCUAAUGGAUUUUGGAACCAUCAAAGCAAACGGAUAAGUCGGACACAAGUUAUAAUUCGAGUUCAAGUCAGUUAUCCGCCAAAAGUCAUUGGAAACUGAGAAUGAACCGUCUUUAAUCAUAUUCAUUGACGCUCGCAAUGAACCUUUUCCGAGAAGUCGAAAAUAUUCGUUAAGCAAUCUUUCCUUUGGGUUUUUGUUGCCGAAUUUGGAAGGCCCACAUGUAAAAGCAUAAAGAUCCCAUACUCUCUCUAGAUUGCUACACCUCAAUAGUGCAUCAACUAGAGAACGUCUCUGCAAAAUUAUACCAAUAGAAUCAAAUAGGACCAUAUAGGCUUCAAAAGGAAAUGCAGAAAACGAGAGUCAAAGCUUCACCUGCUUGGUUCCAGGGGGAAAACCAUAGACAAUUAUCCUCAUAUCUUUGCCUGCAAAAUGCACAUGAUUCACAAGAAUAGUUUCAAAACUAACAUAAAGAAGGUAUCAGAUAACAAAAUCUCUCAACCAGUAUUAGUAUAGUGGUAUAUUGGUUAAGAAACAACAGAGGAGAAAGAAAGAGAGCAAAAUAUCAGAGUGAAUUUUAAUAUAAGGCGUAUAAACCUGAUAAAACAAGACUACUGGAAUCAGUUUUAGCAAAUGAUAACACACGGAAACAUACCAGUGACCUGUAAAAGACGUUUUGGUGGAUUCUUGGUGGACUGAUGUCUGUUUGAUUGAACUUUCUGCACCUACAUACAACACCCAACGACACAAAACAAACAAAUUAAAGCCCAAUUUCACUAAGAUUAAACUCAAAACAUACUAAUAACUAAAAACAGACCGUUUUGUUAAACUUCUCGAUAGCCACCAGUGGAAUUGUACCAAGUGGAACAGGAUCUCUGGUUCCUUCCCUCUUCACAAAGAGAAAAAAAGGAUUGAUGUGAUGCACCAUUUUAAAACAUUACAAGACACAAAGAAGAAAGACAGAAAGACAAGCCAUACCAAAAACAGAAUACGGAAAUUUGUGAGUAAGAGGGUCCCUGCUUCAUUGGUGUUGAUGAGUAUAACUCCACAACACUGUAAUCAACAGCCAUAACAAGAAUAUAAAUAAUUUUUUCAACAAACACACACACAAAGACUCUCUGCAAUACAAUAAUCUUAUAUAAACCGCCUAACUACCUCGAAGGUGAUCCUCUCAGAAUCCAGCAAGCAAUCCAAGUUUGAGUACGAGCUUGACCAAGAAGCUUGCUGAAAAGAGAAAAUAAUAAUUAAACAUUAGGCGUCAAUCGAUUAGCCCUAAUCAAUAUCCAAAUAAACAAGAUGAGCAACAUGAUUGAAAAAGUUAAAGAGAGGAAUACAUCGAGUUUGGUCCAUUCAAGCACGUCCCAGCUUCCGGUACCUUCCAUCUUCUCCGACGAAUAUCGCAGCGAUCGUAAUCGCCUAGAGGAGUUUCUCGGCGCCGUCAUCUAAACGGUGACGAGGCUCGCCUUUCUCUUUCUCUGCCUCUUAACGGUGGGAAACGACGGAUUUCGCACGCUGCCUUUUCGCUACGGAGACAAUGAGACUCUCGAAUACGGCGUAGUUUCUUCCGUACGGCCAACGCUUUGCGUUUUAGACUUGUUUUUGUUUGUUUGAUUAAUAAUGGGCUUUCUUACCUAUUUUAAACAUAUUUUGUUGAUAAAAAGUAAUGGAAAAUUUGAGUGUAGUUUUGGAUAAUUAAAAUUUCAGCAAGAAAAAAAUUGGAUAAUGAACUGAAGAAUUCUUAUUUGAACUCAAUUUAUGUACUCUCUGUACAAAAAAAUAAUAAUAACAAUGUUUUAAUUAUAAAUUAGAUAUAUAUAUAUAUAUAUAUAUAUAUAAUUUUAAAAAUCGUAUUAUAAUAUCUCAAAAUGAAUUUCAAAACUGAAUUUGUAUUUGUAUGUGUGUGAUGAACCAUUUGUAUAUUUAUGAUCGUAUAAAGCAAACACCAUACGCAUUCGUAUUGUAUGCAAUAUACAAGAAUAUUAAUGGUGUAACCGUAUACGUAACUGAAUUUUGAGAUUUGCGACUUAUGAAUUGGUUUCCAUGAAGAACCCACACCAGUGACAUCACCAUACGAAUAAACUCUGACCGAGAGAACAACAAGCACGAGUUAUAAUAAUACAGACAUAACUUGAACAACUCGGAACUUAAAAUCCCCAAAUCAAGGAUUCUUCUGUAUCAUCACCACUGGAUUUUACAAUAAUCAAAAACAACCUUGGCACAUACGUAUAUGCAGCAGUAGUAUGUAUCAUCUCAACCACAAUAAAAUCUCGUAGAAACAAUAUACAAUGCAUCAUCACAUCCUACUACAAGUCAGAAUAGUAAAGGAGAUAAAGAGAAAAGAGACGCUCACAUCAUAAUACCUCUCGUGGUAAUCUAGCAACGUAACAGCUUUUCGUCCUCGGGUUUGGUCCAAGCUGCACGGUUUGGUUGAGUUCCAAUGCCAGUUUAGGUAAAAAAUAUAGUCUAGGAGAGCUUCAGUAGUUAUCCGUGUCUAAACAUUUCUCAAGUGUUUGACUACUAGUACACUCUUGAAGAGCCUUGGCGUUAAGCUCUCUGCCAUAUCUCCAGACAUAGUUGAGCCCGACAAGAAGCUCCGUGAUGAUGGUUUCUGUUUUCUGCUGGUUCGCAAAGAAGAGAGUCUGCGCGAGAACUAUGUGCGUCCUCGAAACCAAGCUCUGGUUCUCGUAACUCCUCUCGGACUGCCAUUUUAUCAUGUUGUGAGCUAACGGACCCAACCAUUCCAAGAUACCCGCCAUUGCGUCUGUCCACUCCUUCGCUAGCCCCGGAUCAUAAACCGCGGAAGAGCUCAAGUUUUUCGAGUACGGCUUUAGCCUCUCUCUCAACGAUUUUCUCACGCUCGCUGGUAACAUGUUGUAAAGGUCGUCUCUCGCAUCGUCGCCUAUCAAGUGGGGAGAUGCAACGAAUCUCUCUAUCACGAUGAUGACAUUAGCGUAGUGUAACGCUAAGCAAGCGGCGCCGAGGGUGUUAGGAGCAGCAUCUGACAACUUGGGUCUUUCAACGUGGACAGUGUUGGAACUUCCUUGGAGAAUCUGAUGAUGCUCUGCGCUACUAUGCCUAGCUCCGUUCUGGGUCCUAGUGCUGAGAGGAGUGAUACCGUCUUGAGACACCAUGCAGCCUUUAAAGGGACCAACCUGUGUUAAACGGUUGGGUUUUGACUGCUUUUUCGCUGAGGAGACCGAAGGCCUUUCCGGUGUCUGCACCACCGUCUUCUUGUUGUGUUUGCCCAUUCCCAUAAGCGGUCCUGAUUUGGAUGUGAACUUCCCGAGAGGACCCGAGUAAAACUUGAAACGUUUGUUCUUUUCUGGGGCAAGAGGACCUGACUUAGGGGACUGGGUAGUGAGUGAGCCCGAGAGGAAAUCACCCAUCUUCGUGGACUUUGUAGCAGCUGAGCCUGACGCUGGACCUGUGAAUCUCCCAAGAGGACCAGAAGCAAAUCUAGGAGGACGGGUGGUCUCGGACUGAUGCGUCAAAACAGUGGAAACAGAGUGGCCGCGAGCGAUGAAAUCAGAAUCCGCAGAGCUAACAUCGCUAGCCUCUGCUCUGUAACUAAUGCCGAAAACAUGUUUAGUCCUAGUCAAGAUUGUGAAGAUCGAUCUCACCAAGAGAAGGACGGUGUAGUCAUAAGUACGGUUCCAAAGAGACACCUCCCUUAGAUUCUUCACUUCAUGUUUCUUCCACGUGACUUUUUUCUUGUACUCCACUAUAUUAUCGGUUGCAGAUUCAUUGCUCUGCCUUCUCUUGAGACUCUGCUCAAGCUCCGUCAGAAUCUCAGUGCUGCCUUUUCGCUACGGAGACAAUGAGACUCUCGAAUACGGCGUAGUUUCUUCCGUACGGCCAACGCUUUGCGUUUUAGACUUGUUUUUGUUUGUUUGAUUAAUAAUGGGCUUUCUUACCUAUUUUAAACAUAUUUUGUUGAUAAAAAGUAAUGGAAAAUUUGAGUGUAGUUUUGGAUAAUUAAAAUUUCAGCAAGAAAAAAAUUGGAUAAUGAACUGAAGAAUUCUUAUUUGAACUCAAUUUAUGUACUCUCUGUACAAAAAAAUAAUAAUAACAAUGUUUUAAUUAUAAAUUAGAUAUAUAUAUAUAUAUAUAUAUAUAUAAUUUUAAAAAUCGUAUUAUAAUAUCUCAAAAUGAAUUUCAAAACUGAAUUUGUAUUUGUAUGUGUGUGAUGAACCAUUUGUAUAUUUAUGAUCGUAUAAAGCAAACACCAUACGCAUUCGUAUUGUAUGCAAUAUACAAGAAUAUUAAUGGUGUAACCGUAUACGUAACUGAAUUUUGAGAUUUGCGACUUAUGAAUUGGUUUCCAUGAAGAACCCACACCAGUGACAUCACCAUACGAAUAAACUCUGACCGAGAGAACAACAAGCACGAGUUAUAAUAAUACAGACAUAACUUGAACAACUCGGAACUUAAAAUCCCCAAAUCAAGGAUUCUUCUGUAUCAUCACCACUGGAUUUUACAAUAAUCAAAAACAACCUUGGCACAUACGUAUAUGCAGCAGUAGUAUGUAUCAUCUCAACCACAAUAAAAUCUCGUAGAAACAAUAUACAAUGCAUCAUCACAUCCUACUACAAGUCAGAAUAGUAAAGGAGAUAAAGAGAAAAGAGACGCUCACAUCAUAAUACCUCUCGUGGUAAUCUAGCAACGUAACAGCUUUUCGUCCUCGGGUUUGGUCCAAGCUGCACGGUUUGGUUGAGUUCCAAUGCCAGUUUAGGUAAAAAAUAUAGUCUAGGAGAGCUUCAGUAGUUAUCCGUGUCUAAACAUUUCUCAAGUGUUUGACUACUAGUACACUCUUGAAGAGCCUUGGCGUUAAGCUCUCUGCCAUAUCUCCAGACAUAGUUGAGCCCGACAAGAAGCUCCGUGAUGAUGGUUUCUGUUUUCUGCUGGUUCGCAAAGAAGAGAGUCUGCGCGAGAACUAUGUGCGUCCUCGAAACCAAGCUCUGGUUCUCGUAACUCCUCUCGGACUGCCAUUUUAUCAUGUUGUGAGCUAACGGACCCAACCAUUCCAAGAUACCCGCCAUUGCGUCUGUCCACUCCUUCGCUAGCCCCGGAUCAUAAACCGCGGAAGAGCUCAAGUUUUUCGAGUACGGCUUUAGCCUCUCUCUCAACGAUUUUCUCACGCUCGCUGGUAACAUGUUGUAAAGGUCGUCUCUCGCAUCGUCGCCUAUCAAGUGGGGAGAUGCAACGAAUCUCUCUAUCACGAUGAUGACAUUAGCGUAGUGUAACGCUAAGCAAGCGGCGCCGAGGGUGUUAGGAGCAGCAUCUGACAACUUGGGUCUUUCAACGUGGACAGUGUUGGAACUUCCUUCGAGAAUCUGAUGAUGCUCUGCGCUACUAUGCCUAGCUCCGUUCUGGGUCCUAGUGCUGAGAGGAGUGAUACCGUCUUGAGACACCAUGCAGCCUUUAAAGGGACCAACCUGUGUUAAACGGUUGGGUUUCGACUGCUUUUUCGCUGAGGAGACCGAAG
rnacentral:lncRNA from 1 species